GCUGCUUCCUACUAGACGUGAGGCUUGCACUGCUCCCGCCAUGGAGCUCAGAUCAUGCCCUGGAGAAGCAGGUGACAUCGCGGAAUUUUCCUGUUCCAGAUGCCAGAAGUCUGAAAUGAAGGUGUAAAGCAGGGUGGUUCCUUCUGGAGGCUCUGAGAGAAUCACCCCAGGCCUCUCUCCAGCUUCUGGUGCUGGUAUUCUCAGGCUUUGCUGGCUUGUGUUUGACACCAUGCCUGACACAUUGGGGGUGCUCAGUAGACCUGUGUGAGAUGGACAGCCUCCCGUACAGAUGGACGGACAGAUGUACAGGUAGGUGAAUGAACUUUCGUUGCCCCUAAAGCAGGAGAGACUCUGAGUUUCUGAGACAACGGCCAAGAACUUUCUGAUAAGAUCUCUGCAUUUAAGGUUCAGAAAAACUCGAUGAGGACAAUAUUUUUCUCCCGAUUUUGCAGAUAAGAAAAUAGAGGCAUAGAGAAGUCACUUGCUAGUAAAUGUUAGAGGCAGCUUUCUAACCCAGGUCCAUGUGAACCCAGAAAAAGAGGCAGUGAGCACCUGUUCACCCAGGAGCAGCUCUCAGAAGAUAAGAUAAUACGAGGAGGAGGCAGCAGACCCCUAUGCCACGCGUCCACCUGGGGCUGUCCAUCACUUCCUGCAAGAUCUUGCUGGUAGCCAGAUUCUCAGAGACCCCCAGUGAGCCCCGCCUCCUGGUUUUCACACCCUGUGUAGUUUCCUUUCCCCAGGGAUGGUCCAAGUGACCAGCAGCCCGUGGCAGAAGUGAUGGAAUAGCACUUCCAAGCUUAGGUUAUGAAAGAUUGCAGCUUCAAUCUCCUGCCCCACACCCCGUCUCUCUCUCUAACCCCACUCCCUCCCUCCCUCUCUCAUCUCUGACUCUGGGGGAAGCACACUGCAGCCCCGUGGAGAUGCCCUGUGUAAGCCACUGAAGCCUCUGGCCAACAGCAGUGGGAACCUGAGACGUGUCCACAAGCAUGCAUGGGAGCUUGGAAGUGGAUCCUUCAGCCCCAGCCAAGCCUUCAGACGAUGCAGCCUCAGGGACAGUAUGACUGCAGCCUCAUGAGACCCUGAGCCAGAAACACCCCUCCAAGCCACUCCCAGAUGCCUGGCCCUCAGAACCUGGGAGGUAAUAAAUAUUUAUGGCUGUUUGAAGCUGCUGUAUCGGGGGACAAUUUGUUACACAGUAAUAGCUAACUGGUGCAGUCCUGGGACUCUUAGCAGUUUGGAGUAUCAGUUAUUUUGCCAAGGCGGGGAAGUUAACAGUGGUCAUUGCAGCAGCUGCACUUGGGGACCACAAUAAAGAAGCUUUCUCAGACUGGUUUGAACAAAGUGGUGAAUUCUCUGCAAGGACACAGAGGUGUCUCUCAAAACCCAAGGAUGGGACAGCAGGCCUCAAGAAGAACUGGAACCUCUGUCCCUUCUGUGCUUCUUUUUACUCCUGUGUUCUCUGCUUCUUGGAGCACUUGGCAGUUGGGAAGUGGCCAUUUCAAUUCUCGUGGUCAAGAAACCAGCUCAGAAAUAACCCAACCAACACAGGUGGGGUCAGGUGUCCAUCCUGGCUCCAUUUGUCAUGGCGGGAGAUGGUGAUGAAGAGAAACAUCCAGGACCAUUGGUAGGGCACCCGAAUGAGAUUCCAGGAGAGGCCAGUUCUAAGAGAAGGGUACUAGAAAGAUACCCAUUGAAGUCAAUACCACAUGUGGCACAUCCUCCUUUCAGGUGGCAAGUGUGUAGCCAAAGCAAGGUUCAGGGUCCAUAUUUGAAAGUCAGAAACUGAAUAAACUGUUUUCUCCCACCCCGAGCACUGUGGGGAACUCUGCUCACAAAUCCACCAUCCACCAUCACCAGCCGUGCUCAUCUGACCAUUCAUGCAGGCUCACACUUGACCUGAUGUGGGUUCUGUCUCCUUUGCUUGAGAAUUGAAAGGCCUGGGAGAUGCAAAAGCUUUAGGCUCCAGCCAUCUCCCCAUGUCAGGUAGGCCUUUUGCCUAGUGUAUCCAGUUGGUAAUGCUGCAGAGAUGCAUGAAGCUGGAGUCAGAGGCCACCUGUAGUGCUGCCCUGACUUCAGACCUGAGCCCAGCCCAGCAGCAGAGAGGGGGCUGGGAGCCAGAGGAGGCCUCACAGUAACAGCACAGACAGGUGGGGGCCCACAACAGGCCACAUGUGUUCAAACUCGAGUGUGGGCAGAGGAGCAUGGGAAGCUCAGAGCCCUGAGCUCACCCCACACCCAACACGAGUGGGGUCACCCAAAAUCAGCCUGUCAGCACUGUCCCAGCAGCCAGUCGCAUGCUACAUUAACAAAUUUUGCACAGGCCAGCAAGCAGGAUCGCUCACCAGCCACCCUCCUGAACUGGCCUAUGGGGCCCCAGGAUGAUGCCAUAGCCACAAGUCUGGAGUUCCUCAAAGUACCUGGUCAGCACAACUCAGUUAAACAAUGGGCAAAAGACCUGAACAGACACUUCGCCAGAGAAGAUGUACAGAUGCAAGUAAGCAUUUGAAAAGGUGCCCCACAUCGUAUGUCGUUAGGGAAUGGUCCAAUCCAGAACACUGAUGGCACCAAAGGCUGCUGAGCAUGUGGAGCAGCAGAACUCUCAUUCACUGCUGGUGAGAAAAAUGGCGCAGCCCCAAUAGGGAACCCUAAUGCAGACUCUGGACUUCACUGGAAAUGACGUGUCAGUGUAGCUGCGUCAGUUGUAACAAAUGCACCAGUCUGGUGGGCGUGUUGAUAACCGGGGCUGCGCACGUGGGGAGAGAGGACCUGUGGGAAUGCUCUACUUUCCACUCAUUUUUGCUGUGAACUUAAAACUGCUCUUACAAAAUAACAUUGUUUGUUGUUGUUGUUGUUGUUGUUGUUGUUGUUGUUUUUAAGUAUCUAGUCAGCUCCACACAUGACCCGGGCAGAGUGGGAAGUUGUAGAGUGCCCCAAGGAGAGAAAUGGAACCAGGUCUCAUGUGGGGCCAAGUGUGGGCUCCCUGUCCUCUCAGCUGGUCCCAGGAACUGAAGGGAAAUUUAGACAACUUGGAGAAAGACACUCUAGGGCUCGGGGCAAAGGGUGGUGUUGAUGAGAACCAUAUUUUUUUAUUGCUGGUGUAAGCACUUGUAUUUUUCUGAUUUUCCACUGGUUCGAUAAUAAGGGUAAAA
rnacentral:lncRNA from 1 species